CACACGACUCUCGGCAACGGAUAUCUCGGCUCUCGCAUCGAUGAAGAACGUAGCGAAAUGCGAUACCUGGUGUGAAUUGCAGAAUCCCGUGAACCAUCGAGUCUUUGAACGCAAGUUGCGCCCGAGGCCAUCCGGUCGAGGGCACGCCUGCCUGGGCGUCACGC
rnacentral:rRNA from 2 species